GCGGGUGUAGCUCAGUUGGUAGAGCGCUACCUUGCCAAGGUAGAGGCCACGGGUUCGAGCCCCGUUACCCGCUCCA
rnacentral:tRNA from 1 species